GUGGAGGCUGAGGCACAUAGAGGUGAGCAACUGACCCAGGUCACACAGAGAGUGCGUGGUGGAGCUGAUGCUGGAACCCAGGACACCUGUCUCCAUGGCCCUGGCUCUAGGACAUCUGCCAAAGGUGUCCACAGCAUGAUCUCUUCACCGGGAUUGGGAUGAAAACACCAGUCAUCACCCAGCAGAUGUUGCUUCUCUACUGAGGACCCUUCAACUUGUUCACUGUUUCAAAGCUGAAGCUGCAAUUUGCGAACUCGCAUUUUCCUGAAGGCUUUCCCACCUGGGCCUUGCCGAGGAACAUACAGUAUCAUCCCACCGACUGCUGGCAUUCGGCCCUGCGCCCACACAGCCCAGCGCUCUGCCUACCUGUGUCCAGGUGAGAGUGCAUCACAGGCGUCCUCCUGGACAGGCAGAGGGAAGCUCUCCAUCAUUACGGAAUGCUUCCUCUACUGUAUGACACACUCAGUUGAAUGAAAAGAAACAUCAGUCUUUC
rnacentral:lncRNA from 1 species